UGAGACCGUCAUAACUACAAGUUCACCGACAUCCCAUUGAAACGUGUGUUAAACUUAAUACACACAUUUCAAUGGGAUGUCGUUGGACUUGUACUUAUGACGGUUUCAUGAAACGCUGCCCAGAUCCCCGACACCGAACACCUGGGGAGGUUUCACGAAACCGUCAUUAAGUCUAACUUUUUAGACAUCGUAUUGAAACGUGUGAUAGAGAUCUAACACGUGUUUCUACCAAAUCUCCACGAGCUUAGACUUAUGGCAGUUUCGAGAAACUAGCACUCGCUCUGAAUCUGGCGCAUCCACGGCCACGCUGGAAGCUCGGAUCUGACCGCCUGCGAUGCAUGCCCCGGACGCGACGGCAGCCCGCUCUCGAGCUAACUCUCCAUCGCAUCGUGCAGCUGUCUUUCUUCUCUUUCACGAACACGGUUGCCCGACUGAAACAACUAGACCACAUUAGUAUCCUGACAUCAAGAUAGGUCUCUAUUAUGUGCCCAUCCGUCUGAUUAAGUCUUCUUUGGAGCAAACUGUCAGACAUUUGCGGUAGUAUACAGCUGAAAUGGAAUUUCCGUUCAACCAAACAGUAUACUUCAAGGCUAUUUCUCAGCGACGAGGGUUAGCUCCAGGUAGCAGUAGCAGGCUGGAAGUAACACACAUGUGCAGUGUUUCAGUCGAAAACGAAUACCACCCAUUCAAAAUCGGUUAUAGGAUCUUGUCCAUAUGUCCAUAUUUUUGUAUGCAUGUGAAACAUGGACCAUGACAGCAGACAUUAAAAGAAGGAUACAGGCACUGGAGAUGAAAUGUUUCCGCAAACUCCUCAGUAUCUGGUAUAGAGAUCACAUAACCAACGAGGUAGUGAAAAUCAGAAUUGGAAACACCAUAGGGCCGUAUGAAGACCUCCUGACUUCAGUGAAAAGAUGCAAAGUAAAGUGGUAUGGGUAUGUCACAUGAUCAUUUGGACUGGCCAAGACUAUUCUACAUGGAACAGUACAAGGAGGGAGACGAAAAGGCAGGCAGAGGAAACGAUGGGAAGACAACAUUAACGAGUGACCUUGACUGAAACAUCAUACUUCGUAAAGCCAAGAACCACGAGGAGUGGAGGAAGCUGGUAGUAUAAAUCUUCAGUGGUGCCCCAAGGGUCAGCCAGACUGUGGGAUAGGUGAAGGUGAAGGUGAAGGAAGCUAAGAAUCAGAUAGUUAGACAUUAUAUUGGAUCAUUUAUCCUUUCCUUCAAAAGGAAUGUUGCUUUAUACUGUAGCACAUAAACAAUGCUUUUUAUUGGCAAUAUUUCAGUUCAGUACGCUUGUUAUUAAUUUCAUCAAACAUUAAAAUGUAAAAGGGAGAAACACUGUCAUUUGAAAAUCAAAAUGUAAGUCAUAAAAAUUUCACUGUCUAACUAUCUGAAUCUUGUCAGGAUCCAUGUACGAGUUAGUGCAAUUCUUUUCUCUUCACUACAACCGCAUUGAUUUACUUUAAUAGCAUGUUACUAGGUACAUCAAUUGAUGAGAAAAAGCAGCAAAACGCUUUAAAUUUGUUGUAGUCUUAAAAUUAAAGUUGGAAGUUUCCUAAAAAGGGAAUUUUAGAACACUCCUUCAACUGACAUGCACGGAUGUUAUACUUAUGAAUUUCCAUACAUUAAUGUCUUUGUAAUGCAUGUUACCAAACAAAAAAAAGUAUCAUCAACCAUUCUUGUCAUUUCCUGUGCAAUUAUUUUCACAUCCUGGCUUAACAGUACAUAAACAGUGCUCUUUUAUUUUCAAUAUUUCAGAAAAAUGCAUUUGCAUUAUGAUACAUGCAGGUAUAGUUGGUCAAGUAAGAAUAUAUUUACAGCAUGCUCACUAUGAAUUGAUUAAAUCGCCAUUGAAUCUAAAAGGUAUGUUAUACCUCAUUGUAUAUUCAGAAGGAAAAAGUGUGAGGAUAGCUUUAAAAAAAAAAAAAUCAUGAGUAUCCAUAAUGAUGUGAAUAUGUACAUGUUUGUUUGUUGCAUAUGAUUCUUCCUUGGUAUCAAAGCUGUAAUAAUUGCAUAUUUAUGAUUCAGCAUAAUACUUUGUUCAUUACAAAAAAAAAUAUGUCAUAAUUUUCCAAAACGGUAGUGUAAAGAAUAAUGUAAGAUUGAGGUAAGAUUGUUACAUAUAUUCUCUAUACGUAUCAACUAAAAUGUAAGUUUUCAAAUGAGAUACUAUUUUGUCCCCAGAUGAAAUAAGUAAUGGAUCUUUUUUGUUAAAUGUCAGCAAAUGAUCUAAAUGAACAUGUGUUCGGGUAUAUCAAAUCUUGUACAUGUAGUUUCUAUAGCUAAUAUAGUUUGGAGGACUUAAAGAUAGAAAAACUGCUGAUUGAUUAAUUACCAUUGUUUGUAUUGUUCACUAUAACCAGCAAGUAAAGGGACAUUUAGUAGAUGCCAAGAAAGUAUUUCCAAAGCAAUUACAUUUCUCUUAUCCUGUAAUGUAUUUUUUGCGUCAAUAAAAGCAAAUGUGAGGGUUGUCCACAUAACAUCACAACUACAGAACAGUUUAAUUGAAAUUAACAUACAUAUUACAUGUAUAUAUGUGUAUUAUGGAAUAACUUAGAAUAUUUCAUAAUUUGUUAUUAUUAUCCAGUUCAUUACAUUUUUACCAAUGUAUUUCUUCAAUAUUUCUACUUUUCCUCAGAGCAUAUGCUGUGAACUAAUGGAUAUUCCUUGUCAGUUCCAUCAUGUUAUGUCAAUGGGCUUACACUGUAUGCGUGUACAUGUCCUUUUUGCAAUGUACAUGUGCUACGAAAAUGUCAACAAUAUUGUUUGAGAUAUAAAAUAUAGAGUUAACAAGUGAAUUAUUCA
rnacentral:lncRNA from 1 species